AUAUUAACGUUGAGAAGGAUCAGUAGAGUUAGUAAACGAUUCAGAGAGUACGUGGCUGGUGUGAACGUAACGUUGUUGACUUGAACUCACCUUUGAGUUUCUUGUUGAAUUUAGUAAGCAAGAACGGUAUUUCCCGUUAUGAAAUCGAGUGUCGACACUUUGUCGAAAUUUAGGUGGUACCGCGAGUAAUUCGUCCUAUAC
rnacentral:ncRNA from 1 species